UACGAAGGGGGCUAGCGUUGCUCGGAAUCACUGGGCGUAAAGGGCGCGUAGGCGGAUGGCACAGUCAGAUGUGAAAUUCCCGGGCUUAACCUGGGGGGCUGCAUUUGAUACGUGUUGUCUAGAGUGAGGAAGAGGGUUGUGGAAUUCCCAGUGUAGAGGUGAAAUUCGUAGAUAUUGGGAAGAACACCGGUGGCGAAGGCGGCAACCUGGUCCUUGACUGACGCUGAGGCGCGAAAGCUGGGGAGCAAACAGG
rnacentral:rRNA from 1 species